rnacentral:rRNA from 1 species
UUUUAUUUGAGAGUUUGAUCCUGGCUCAGGAUGAACGCUGGCGGCGUGCCUAACACAUGCAAGUUGAGCGAUUUACUUCGGUAAAGAGCGGCGGACGGGUGAGUAACGCGUGGGUAACCUACCCUGUACACACGGAUAACAUACCGAAAGGUAUGCUAAUACGGGAUAAUAUAUUUGAGAGGCAUCUCUUGAAUAUCAAAGGUGAGCCAGUACAGGAUGGACCCGCGUCUGAUUAGCUAGUUGGUAAGGUAACGGCUUACCAAGGCGACGAUCAGUAGCCGACCUGAGAGGGUGAUCGGCCACAUUGGAACUGAGACACGGUCCAAACUCCUACGGGAGGCAGCAGUGGGGAAUAUUGCACAAUGGGCGAAAGCCUGAUGCAGCAAC